rnacentral:rRNA from 1 species
GACGAACGCUGGCGGCGUGCUUAACACAUGCAAGUCGAGCGGUAAGGCCCUUUCGGGGGUACACGAGCGGCGAACGGGUGAGUAACACGUGGGUGACCUGCCCUUAGCUCCGGGAUAAGCCUGGGAAACUGGGUCUAAUACCGGAUAUGACUCCAUGACGCAUGUUGUGGGGUGGAAAGCCUUGUGCGGCUAGGGAUGGGCCCGCGGCCUAUCAGCUUGUUGGUGGGGUGAUGGCCUACCAAGGCGACGACGGGUAGCCGGCCUGAGAGGGCGACCGGCCACACUGGGACUGAGACACGGCCCAGACUCCUACGGGAGGCAGCAGUGGGGAAUCUUGCGCAAUGGGCGAAAGCCUGACGCAGCGACGCCGCGUGAGGGAUGAC